ACAUGGUGAAACCCCGUUUUGCAAAUUUUUUUUUUUUUUAGAUGGAGGCUCGCUCUGUCACCCAGGCUGGAGUGCACUCCGUGGCUCUCUCAGAUCAUCCACUGGUUAAAAGUAAAAGACAGCUGAACCCUCAUGGGGCCAUUCAUACAAGUCCCUAUUUAAGGAACAAGUGAUUAUGCUACCUUUGCACAGUCAGGGUACCGUGGACGUUAAACACAUGUCACUGGGCAGGCAGGGCCUCUAAUACUGACAGUGCUAGAGGUGAUGUUUUCGGUAAACAGGCGGGGUAAAAAUUUGCCAAGUUCCUUUUU
rnacentral:lncRNA from 10 species